AUUGAACGCUGGCGGCAGGCCUAACACAUGCAAGUCGAGCGGAGCGGCGGACGGGUGAGUAAUGCCUAGGAAUCUGCCUGGUAGUGGGGGAUAACGUCCGGAAACGGGCGCUAAUACCGCAUACUAUCAGAUGAGCCUAGGUCGGAUUAGCUAGUUGGUGGGGUAAAGGCCUACCAAAGCGACGAUCCGUAACUGGUCUGAGAGGAUGAUCAGUCACACGGGAACUGAGACACGGUCCAGCUUACUACGGGAGGCAGAGGUGGGGUAUGUUGGGCCAUGGGCGGACGCCUGAUGCAACGACGCCGCGUGAGGGAUGACGACCUUCGGGUUGUGAACACCUUUCGCCAUCGACGCGGUAGAUGGAGAAGAAGCACCGGCUAACUACGUGGCAGCAGCCGCGGUAAUUC
rnacentral:rRNA from 1 species